rnacentral:rRNA from 1 species
ACGAACGCUGGCGGCGUGCUUAACACAUGCAAGUCGAACGAUGAAGCCUAGCUUGCUAGGUGGAUUAGUGGCGAACGGGUGAGUAAUACGUGAGUGACCUACCUUUGACUCUGGGAUAAGCCUGGGAAACUGGGUCUAAUACCGGAUACGACCAAUCUCCGCAUGGGGUGUUGGUGGAAAGCGUUAUGGAGUGGUUUUAGAUGGGCUCACGGCCUAUCAGCUUGUUGGUGAGGUAAUGGCUUACCAAGGCGACGACGGGUAGCCGGCCUGAGAGGGUGACCGGCCACACUGGGACUGAGACACGGCCCAGACUCCUACGGGAGGCAGCAGUGGGGAAUAUUGCACAAUGGGCGCAAGCCUGAUGCAGCGACGCCGCGUGAGGGAUGACGGCCUUCGGGUUGUAAACCUCUGUUAGCAUCGAAGAAGCGAAAGUGACGGUAGGUGCAGAGAAAGCGCCGGCUAACUACGUG